CUUCAUUUUCUUCUUUUUCUUUUUGUUUUCUUUUAUCCCCUCAAGCCUUAUUAAUUAUAAUUUAAACCGAGCAUAAAUCAAUUGUAACUCCAAAACCAUGUAAACCGAACCGAAAUUGUUUGCAAGUGUACCCAAAUUCUAGAGAUUUUUAGUGUCUGCUGCUAUGGUGUUCGACAGAAUGCCGCUGAGAGAUUUUGUUUCCUGGAAAAUGAUAAAAUUCUACAGAUGUUUGUUACAGAGGAAGGUGGGAAUCUCAUGGAGCUUGCAUGUGGUUUAAACACAGUACAGUUGUUGGGAAGCCACAAGCUUCUCACUCGGAGAAGGACCCAAAAAUAUAUAUGUUCAAGGAAGGAGAUGAAGCUGUGAAGGUUUCCAAGUUAAGUUGGAGCCAUAAGCUGUGAUUGAGCACAACACUUGAUUAUAGGUAACAUUGCCAAAAAAAGGUUCAGACAGACGGUGAGGUCUGCAAAUGUCAGGUAAAUCCGUUAAGAAAAGGGCUUAAGGAGAAGAUGUACGAGAUCCAAACCAAGAAACUUAACACUUUGAUCAAACCCAAUUGCACCAGUAACGAUUGUGUGAGGUUGACGCCGGAUUAUGAUGCCUUGGAUGCUGCAAACAAGAUUGGAAUCAACUUUAAAAGUUUUCAUCUUUCUUUCUUGGUCAUAUACAUUAACUCGCAAAACACAACCUUAUGGUUCCCAACCUAUUUGAACAUUCUUUUUCAGCUUCCGUGAUCAGUAAUAUUGAAAUCUGCAUUCUUUUGAAUACAUACUACAAUUCCCUUUUAUUGUCUUGUAAUCUAGAUUGUAGAUUUAGAUAGACUAGAUAUGUCUUUAUCAUUUCGUUGAAUGAAGGGGGAAAAUAUAACAUUCGAUUA